UUGAGACAUCAACCGGUAGGCUCUGUUGCCCUGUCUUUUUCGCCACGUAAAAUGUGAUUUCACUUUGCGGUCUCUUUAACGCACAGUUAAAAACGGGGUCAUUUCCGGGGACUACUCCCGCCGGGAACAUGCCACCAAAAACGGGGACUGUCCCCGGAAAAUGGAGACGUCUGGUCACCCUACGAUUUUCAUUUUAGGGAUGCCUGUGAGUUUUGCCUCAGAGAUGCGAAGAAAAGAGAGUUUGAGACCAUCAAAGGCUCCUGGUUCCAAACCACUGUUCUGAAUAGGAUUCCUCCCCAUCUCUGGAAGAAAGACCAGAGAAUGCCCCAGCUGCCACCCUCUUGAUGUGGUUGUCGUGGAUUCGCAGCUCCACCAGGGAGGAGGGCAGGUUUCUUGGCACAGCU